rnacentral:lncRNA from 1 species
UUUCUUCACAUAUUCAUGAAGAACCAUAAAGCAAUGGCUCUCAAACUUAGUUUUAGCAGCAGAGCCCUUUCAUCAGAUAAAAAUGUAUUGUUGGAAGCCCAGUUCAAGCAGAAUAAAGGACCUGCUGGUUGAACUGGGGUGGGUGGUAGUGGGAUGGAGACAUUGAAUCCAGCUGACUCAUUUUCCCCUUUUUUCUUAGACCACCCCUGGGGCACUUUGGCUGGAACAAAGUUAGAGAACCGCUCAUCAAAAGCGUGAAUGCAGCUUUCCCCAAAAUGUGUUUCUGGGAACUCUGCUUCAGGGUGUCCCAUGAAAAAAGGUUCCAUCGUCACAGAAGUUUGAGAAACACUGGAUUAACCAAGUGAAAACCAUUUCCUCCUCCCCGUGGACUCGAUCCAGAGGCUGCGCCCGUCUCUCCCACGUCAACAGCCCUGUGUCCUUGGCGGAGAACAGUGCUCUCAUUCUGGGCCUUUCCCUUCUUCCUCAGCCAAACCCCUGCGCCUGCACCUCCUUGCAGCUAAUAAAAAGACUGAAUUUCCUGAUGCAGGGAAAGCCCCCACCGGCUGUCACUCACAGGGAUGAGCGAAAUCUGCCGAGGCCACACUGUCCUCAUCUACAGAUUUCCUUGCCUCCUCCACUUGCAUUUUCCCAGAGCAGCUAGCUCUGUCCCAGGCCUCAGGGUGUCCCCGGGCUGAGGUGGAAUCCAGCCACGACCACCUUCCAA